GACGAACGCUGGCGGCGUGCUUAACACAUGCAAGUCGAACGGAGUGCCUAUGACAGAGGUUUUGGCCAAUUGAUUAGGUUACUUAGUGGCGGACUGGUGAGUAACGCGUGAGGAACCUGCCUUUCAGAGGGGGACAACAGUUGGAAACGACUGCUAAUACCGCAUGACACAUCGGAGGGGCAUCCCUUUGAUGUCAAAGAUUUUAUCGCUGAAAGAUGGCCUCGCGUCCGAUUAGAUAGUUGGCGGGGUAACGGCCCACCAAGUCGACGAUCGGUAGCCGGACUGAGAGGUUGACCGGCCACAUUGGGACUGAGAUACGGCCCAG
rnacentral:rRNA from 1 species